GACGAACGCUGGCGGCGUGCCUAAUACAUGCAAGUAGAACGCACAGUUUAUACCGUAGCUUGCUACACCAUAAACUGUGAGUUGCGAACGGGUGAGUAACGCGUAGGUAACCUGCCUGGUAGCGGGGGAUAACUAUGGGAAACGAUAGCUAAUACCUCAUAAUAUUGAUUAUUGCAUGAUAAUUGAUUGAAAGAUGCUAUUGCAUCACUACCAGAUGGACCUGCGGUGUAUUAGCUAGUAGGCGAGGUAACGGCUCACCUAGGCGACGAUACAUAGCCGACCUGAGAGGGUGGUCGGCCACCCUGGGACUGGGACACGGCCCAGACUCCUUCAGGAGGCAGCCAGAGGGCAACUUCGGCCAUGGGCGGAAGUCUGACCGAGCAACGCCGCGGGAGUGAAGAAGGUUUUCGGAUCGUAAAGCUCUGUUGUAAGGGAAGAACGGGUGUGAGAGUGGAAAGUUCACGCUGUGACGGUAUCUUACCAGAAAGCGACGGCUAACUACGUG
rnacentral:rRNA from 1 species